rnacentral:rRNA from 1 species
AUUGAACGCUGGCGGAAUGCUUUACACAUGCAAGUCGAACGGUAGAGGGGGCAACCCCUCGAGAGUGGCGAACGGGUGAGUAAUAUAUCGGAACGUGCCCAGUCGUGGGGGAUAACGUAGCGAAAGUUACGCUAAUACCGCCUACGAUCUAAGGAUGAAAGCGGGGGAUCGCAAGACCUCGCGCGAUUGGAGCGGCCGAUAUCAGAUUAGGUAGUUGGUGGGGUAAAGGCUCACCAAGCCAACGAUCUGUAGCUGGUCUGAGAGGACGACCAGCCACACUGGAACUGAGACACGGUCCAGACUCCUACGGGAGGCAGCAGUGGGGAAUUUUGGACAAUGGACGCAAGUCUGAUCCAGCCAUUCUGCGUGCAGGAUGAAGGCCCUCGGGUUGUAAACUGCUUUUGUACGGAACGAAAAGGUCUCUCUUAAUACGGGGGGCUCAUGACGGUACCGUAAGAAUAAGCACCGGCUAACUACGUGCCAGCAGCCGCCGUAA